rnacentral:rRNA from 1 species
GUCGAGAAUCUUUCACAAUGGGGGCAACCCUGAUGGAGCGACGCCGCGUGGAGGAUAAGGUCUUCGGAUUGUAAACUCCUGUCAUGCGUGAACAAGGUUGCUUGGAUAAUACCUGAGCAAAUUGAUGGUAGCGCAAGAGGAAGAGACGGCUAACUCUGUGCCAGCAGCCGCGGUACUACAGAGGUCUCAAGCGUUGUUCGGAAUCACUGGGCGUAAAGGGUGCGUAGGUGGCGUGGCAAGUCAGAUGUGAAAGCCCGGGGAUCAACCUCGGAACUGCAUCCGAUACUGCCAUGCUAGAGUACUGGAGGGGUGACUAGAAUUCUCGGUGUAGCAGUGAAAUGCGUAGAUAUCGAGAGGAAUACCAAAGGCGUAGGCAGGUCACUGGACAGUUACUGACACUGAGGCACGAAGGCCAGGGGAGCGAACGGGAUUAGAAACCCCGGUAGUCC